CAAACUCGCGAGAGCUAGCAAAUCCCAUAAACCGUGGCUCAGUUCAGAUCGUAGGCUGCAACUCGCNUACGUGAAGUAGGAAUCGCUAGUAAUCGCAGGUCAGCAUACUGCGGUGAAUACGUUCCCGGGCCUUGUACACACCGCCCGUCACACCAUGGAAGUUGGCCAUGCCCGAAGUCGUUACUCCAACCCUUGUGGAGGAGGACGCCGAAGGUGGGGCUAAUGACUGGGGUGAAGUCGUAACAAGGUAGCCGUACCGGAAGGUGCGGCUGGAUCACCUCCUAACAGGGAGACAACAAAAUGUUUAAUAUUAUUUUGUCACCUAAGGUCGAUCGGUACCUCACAUUCUUAAUUUAUUAAGGAUUUUAUUUCCUAAGUUUCUCUAGGUCACACCCAUUAUUUUUCCUGGGCCAUUAGCUCAGGUGGUUAGAGCGCACCCCUGAUAAGGGUGAGGUCCCUGGUUCAAGUCCAGGAUGGCCCAUAUCUCUAUGUUGGGGGUAUAGCUCAGUUGGUAGAGCGCCUGCUUUGCAAGCAGGAUGUCAGCGGUUCGAGUCCGCUUACCUCCACUGAUUACCACCUCUUCCAUAAUCUGUAGAAAGGAAAUGUAUUGAGAUGUGAUCAAAUUCUGAACGAAUCUAGCUUCCUAAUGAAAUCAUUAAGAUGCUGGACUCAUUGAAUUAAUUUCAUUGUUUUCAGAGAACCUUGACAACUACAUAGAUUAUUUUUAAAGACAAUAAGCAUCUUUAUGAUGCAGAUUUAUUAUUUGUGCGAAUGCAUUAAUAACAAUUCUAUUAAGCUGAUGCUUCAAUUAUUGAAGUUAUUGGCCAAGCUACAAAGGGCUCACGGAGGAUACCUAGGCACACAGAGGCGAUGAAGGACGUGGUUACCUGCGAUAAGUCUC
rnacentral:misc_RNA from 1 species